GAUUUCGUGGUGUAGUUGGCUAUCACAUUCGCCUCACACGCGAAAGGUCUCCGGUUCGAGCCCGGGCGAAAUCA
rnacentral:tRNA from 4 species